rnacentral:rRNA from 1 species
GUGAGGAAUAUUGGACAAUGGGCGCAAGCCUGAUCCAGCCAUGCCGCGUGCAGGAAGACGCAUCUAUGGUGUGUAAACUGCUUUUGUACGGGAAGAAACACUCCCUUGUGAGGGAGCUUGACGGUACCGUAAGAAUAAGGAUCGGCUAACUCCGUGCCAGCCGCCGCGGUAAUACGGAGGAUCCAAGCGUUAUCCGGAAUCAUUGGGUUUAAAGGGUCCGUAGGCGGUUUAAUAAGUCAGUGGUGAAAGCCCAUCGCUCAACGAGUGAACUGCCAAUGAUACUGUUAGACUUGAAUUACAAGGAAGUAACUAGAAUAUGUAGUGUAGCGGUGAAAUGCUUAGAUAUUACAUGGAAUACCAAUUGCGAAGGCAGGUUACUACUUGUAGAUUGACGCUGAUGGACGAAAGCGUGGGGAGCGAACAGGAUUAGAAACCCGUGUAGUCC